GGGCGAGAAGGCCGAGAGAAUGAUGGGUGGCCUUGCAGAUAUCAUUUCAACUGCAUCAUCAAAUUGAUCAAAUAUUUGCCUACUAUCAGCAACAUCAACAUGCCGUGCGAGGCAAGACUCAGUGCUCAUAAUUCUUUGUUUAGCAUGGUAUGUGUGCCUUGUGAAUUAUUUUCCUUGCCGUGAACAUGUAUAUUGGAAUCGAAAUACGUUCUCGAAACUCUUGUUCUUUAAUAAAUGAAAGCUCCAUGCAUUGUUUUCCAA